UGGGCUCAAGUGAUCCCUCUGCCUCAGCCUCCCAAGUUGCUGGGACCACAGGCACCUGCCUUUACGCCCUUCUUGUGCUGGGAUUUCGGGUGUGAGCCUCCACACUGGCCCUGUUUCUCACGAUGGGAUUUCAGCUAUGAGCCUCCACGCCUGGCCCUGUUUCUCACGCUGGGAUUUUGGGUGUGAGUCCCCUUGCCCGGCCCUGUUUCUUGUGCUGGGAUUUCGGGUGUAAGCCCCGGCGCCCAGCCCUGUUUCUUGUGCUGGGAUUUCGGGUCUGAGCCCCUGCACCUGGCCUUGUUUCUCUGGCUGCCUCCCUUUCUCAGACUCCUGUAGUGGUGUUUCCGUCCAACACCUGUGUUUUACAGCAUGUGGGUUUUUUUCUCCUCUCUGCUAUCAAUAUGCAAAGUGCUGAGGUUGCACUCUUAAGCCCUGUGAAAAGGACUUUGCUAUUGUUACUGGACAAUUUUUCUUCAUGUUACUUCCAAUUUCUUGGAAAUCGGUAGGUGCUUUUCCUCACCCAACUGGGGUUUUCCAUUUCCGUCUCCUGGAUCUAGAUGGCUCUGCUCUUUUAUCAGCAGAGAGCACUGGUUCCCGCGCCUUCAGAGGGGACUGUUUUAGAGCCUCCAGCUCUGUCGUGUGGCUGUGCCAGUAACCCCGGAAAGGCUUACACCCUAGUGUAGUAAUAGAACACGGAUCCGUUAUGUGUCUCACUACACAUGCAUUAACUGGAAAAUCCAAAGGCAUUUUACAUAAUCUGAAGUUCAGUCAAGUCAGCGGGGUGUUUGAGAAGAGGAAGGCGACUUCCUGACGCCUGUCAUGAUAUGAACCAAGUAGUUUCAUCCGGAGUGGAAUCUGGCUUGGUUCUGGCCUUUGAAUUUUUCCAAGCCAGAUCACUAGUAUACCUAACUAUAACCCUGCAUAGUAACUUUUGGCUGAAUGGAUGGUUUCCGGUGCAGUAAUAGCUGAGUUUCUGUCAAUAUGCACUGUCUAUUCUGUGAGAAUGUUAAAGUAUCUGAAUUUCAAAGGCACGUGCAGAGGUACAAGGGCCGCGCCUGUGAGAACACCGAGCAGCACUGCAUGAUGGCUGGAGGCUGGGGAGCCACUUUCCUUCCCUCACGCAUCCGCCUCCACGCAAGCCUGCUCUCCGCCGUGGGAAAUCAGACAGCUGGGCUGACAGCCUGCAUUCGGGAUGCAGUGGAGGUGAUGGACAGCCGGCCCCGGGAGGGGUGAAUACUCUGUCCACUGUGCCCCCAGGCCAGAGCCUCGCAUGGUGAUGAAUAGAGUCGUACUGACGUGGAAAAUCAGAUACUCAGCACCUUUCCUUCAAGACAGAUAGGGGAAAAGCUGAGGAAACAGAAAAAAAAAAAAUGGAAAAGAAGAAGUGGUCAAGAAAGGGCUGCAAACACACAAAGAGAUGAUUUUUUAAAGAGAAAAGGAAAAUAACAAACCAGAUGCUGACAUGGUACUCCAGUUCCAAUAUCCUAUUUAUUAUCAUGCAUUCAACUCCUCAGGUAUUUAAUGACAAGCUACUCAUAGCUUGUCUCAGAGCACCAGGAAUUCUGAGUCACAGUCGGGGUGUAAAGCGGGGCCCUGCAUUCAGGGAGCUGAGUCUGACUGGGAACUGGAAAGGCUCCCCUACCUCCCAUGACCGUCUGUGAGCUUCACCUGUGAGUGGCAGGUGCGCGUGGAGUCAGUUCCCCUCCAUGCCCGCCUGCAUUCCUACCCGGAGACCUCCGGCCGCGGUGGGAAUUGCCCUGCUGUUUUCAUUACUGCAGGUUUUUCUUCUGUAUUUCUGAACCCCUCAUAUCUCAGGGAAGGAAAUCCAGGGAGAAGUAUCUGUUGCGACCCCAUCUGUUGCAUUUUCUGAGUCUCCACGUUAAUGAAAGAGCAGCCAUCCAGUUUCCUGCAGUGCCGAGAGUCCUCGGGGCCUGUCAUUGUUCUAAAGGACAGAGGACACUGUUCAGAUGUGACGUCUGUCGCCAUUUCUGUCUCCUCUUAGCAAACUUUAAAGCCCGGAAAACCUUCUAUUUUCAAAGUAGGAAAAUUAGAUUACAGCAAAGCCAUAACCCUGUAUCUCUCCUAACCUUGCUCCCUAAUCAGGAAUAAAAGGGAAAUUAUCUGAAGAAUUAUCUAAUAUGUUCUUCAUCAGGAGAUCAUAAUUAAAUCAUAAUUGCCAUCCGGCAGCAAAAUGUGAUGAAAUUACCAGGGCAAACUAUUAAUUACUUCAAAGAUCCAUUUUAAUCGUAAACAGUUUAAUAUACCUCUAUAAAAAUUGCCAUCAGGCAGGCGCUUAAUGAGGGAGCUGUGAAGGCUCUGCUGUCCUUGGUGACUGGAGGAUGUUUUCACGAGAUCUUCACGGUUAUUUUCCAUUUCCAGUUCCUUAGGCCUGGCUCUUACAUUCUCUAAUACUAUGGGGAGUAGAAAUUUCUGCGUCCUCCUGGGUGGAGUGUGUGAGUGUGUGCAUACAUAUGUGUUUAUAUGUGUGUGUGUGCACUGUGUAGGUGAUAUGCGUGUGUGUGCGUGCAUGUGUAUGUGUGUAUAUGUAUGAGUGUGUGCUAGUGUGUGCAUUUGUAUAUGCAUGUGUGUAUGCAUGGGAAUGUGUGUAUGUGUGUGCAUAUGUAUAGUUGUGUGUGUGCAUGUGUAUGUAUGCGUGUGUGUACAUAUGUGCGCAUAUGUACUUGUGUGUGCAUGCGUGUGUGCAUAUUUAUAGGUGUGUCUCUGUGCAUGUGUAUGUGCGUAUGCAUGUGUGUUUAUAUGAGUGCAUGUGCAUUGUGUACAUAGGUACAUGUAUGUGUGUCCAUGUGCAUGCUGUAUUUAUGUGUACAUGUUAUGCAAUGUGCAGGUGUGUAUGUGUGUACAUAUGUACAUGUGUGUACAUGUGCAUGUGUAUAUAUGCAGGUAUGUAUGUAUAUGUGUACAUAUGUACAUGUGUUUAUGUCUAUGUGUGUGCAUGUGUGUCUGUGUGUGCAUGAGUAUAUACAUGUGCAUGUAUAUUUGUGUACAUAUGUACAUAUGUGCGCACAUGUGUUUGCGUCUGUGUGCAUGUUGUGUGUGUGCAGGUGGGCCGUUGCUUUGUAGUUUUGUGGGGGCUAAACAAAGGAUGUGCAUGAUGCUGUCCAUGUGUGCAUGUGUAUAUGUGUGCAUGUGUGUUUGUGUACGUAUGUACAUGUAUGUGUGUGCAUGUGUUUGUGUCUCUCUCUGUGUGUAUGUUGUGUGUGUGCAUUCGCGUGUAUAUGUGUGCAUGUGUGUUUGUGUGUGUAUGUAUGUGUAUUUGCUACGAGUGGUAUCUUGAAGAAAUGGGAUUGUGAGGAUGAAAGGGAAGAGUUUGUGUUCGCAGCCACACAUAAACUCACAGAAUAGCUUCUGAUGGAGCACAGUAAAUUUUGGAAUUAGGUAUGAGGAAGCAUCUUUGGUCAUUCUUAGUUCUUUGAGAUAUUUUUCAUUUAAAUGAAAACGUAUGCCUUUUUCUAGAUCUUGAUGCAAACAGUUGCAUCAAAGUGGAGCUUGUGAGUAAGAAUGCAGAUAGAAAAUCAUGGGAAUUAUUCACGUGGAUGACCUGAUUUUAUUCUAGUCUUACUUAUGAAGUCUUCUUCCUGCUCCACAACGAUUGAAGAGACAGGAAACAAACUUUUAAAAUUACGUAAAUAAACGGGCCAAGGGGAAAUACAAGAGGACAAGCAAAGACAGACACAGCUUUGCACUGCACUCGUGGCUUAUCUCACCAUGGACGCCAAAUUCAAACCUGUUGGCGACUCAUCACACUGGACUGACGGCACAAAGGUUCUUGGGAAAUAGAAUCAUGUUCAGCAUCAAGUAGGAAAAAAGUCACAAGUACUUGCAGACAAGCCAAUCAAAAUUGAAGGAAAAAUAGAAUCAGCACCUAGUGUAAAUUAACUUCAGAAAUAUGCAGUCAGGACUGUCCUUGCGGACUUGCAUUCUAGCUUCUGAGCUGAAAUUUGUGUCAUUAAACUGAUAUCUAGAUGAUGUACAUUUCUUGACUUACUACAAUUCAAAAAAAAUGAAACAAAUUACAUGAACACAGUGGCUAUCAUUUCCCCCUUGUGAAUGGCAUAGUAGCAGUCUAUACAAUUUUGGAUGUUGUCUUUCUGUUGACUGUUAGUUACUUUAGACUACAAAUCUCAGAACAUUUAAAUAAUGAUUUGUUACAUUACUCUAAACCUAAUUAUUUUAUAUUCACUCACACCAUCCCCUCUGUUGGUUCUGAAAUAAACUAUUCAAAGGAGUGCAGAGCCAGUGGGUGUAGAGAAUUAUGUUUUAUUAAUUGGAAGCAUUCUAACAGUAACCAUAUUGACUGAUCACAUGCCCAAUAUUCUCUUUUUGACCAACUUUGCUGCUGUCAAGAAAAGAAGGAUAAUAUUGUACAGUAAUUCAAUGCUAAUAAUUUAUCAGUUCCACUAUUUUGUAGGUAUUAAUAUCAAAAGCUGGUUGUUGGAAAGUCGAACAAUGUAGCAAGGGCUCCCAGAUGUGCCAUUUCUAUCUUCCUGUGUGUGAUUGGAUCUCAGCUCUACAAUGUGUUCUGUGCUGUGUGGGAAAUUUACACAAUCCCACUGGUUGCGGGGUUCUGGGGGUCAGUUGAUUAAUGGGGUGCUGAAAAUGAGAUCGUUCCACCACACUGCAGGCAGGAAGAAGCAUUUGUCAUCCCAGAUGAUUUUCUGGAAUACUUGGCAGCAUUGUCAACUCCAGAUUGGAAAGCAAUGAACAACUCCAUUCAGGCAGCACCUCCCAGGGCUCAAGAGGAGAGGUUUAGUCCCACUUAGCAGGUAACAAUUGCCAGCCAAGCCGCUGGAUUACGAUAAAGGAGGCAUAGCUGGUAAAAGAGUAAGAAGUCAAAAACCAGCUCUAAGCUGGGAACUUGCAGCAGAAACUGACUGUAGCAAACGCGUGUUUUCUUCUGUGAUGUGUGUGUGCACUUGCCACUCAUCUGUGUCCAAAUCCUCUCUUCUCCUGCCAGGUCUGGGCUUCCCUCUUCCUGCUGAGCUCUGUGCCCUGCAGGGCUGGUCUCCUGGUGCAGCAUCGGAGGGGUCCCCUCGGUGGUCUGGUCCUUAUCAGGUUCUGCCACCCGAAGGCUCUGGCAGGACCCGAGAGGGAGGGAGGGCAAAGGAUCAGACGUGGAUGCCCAGAUCUUUGGCUCCGGCUGCAGGUUGGUGGUGCUGCACUUCCCGUGCACGGGCGUGGCUUUGCUCAGGAGCCUUUCGUGCGGUCUGUGUCUCCCUUGCCACUCUUGCCCAGGUAGUCAUGGUUCCUAAUGCGGGGCUCUGCUCUGCCACUCAGUGGAUGCCCUUGACCCCUCCCCCCGCCGUGGCUUUUCCCAGAGCCCAUCCUCACACCUGCCUGAGCCCCUUUUCCGAGGGCACCUGUUUCCUGCCAGGACCUGGGCUGUGGUCCAUGAUCCCUCACUUCCUAUUGCGCAUUUGGAUGUGCUGUUGAGGGUCCUACGCCUACUCUUAACUUCUGCCUACAAUCAAACCCAAAGGUUAAAAGCUUUGAACUUUUCCUACUCUCAAAAUUGUACCAGCUAUUCAUAUAUUCGUCAGCCUAGUUUUUGGCAAAGGUGAUUUAAAUUUGCUGUUUAAAAGAGAAGCCCUUGCAACGGUGAUCUAGGUUGUGUCAUCGCUUCUGCGUAACAGCAAGGCAAAGCUGCGGAUUUAUCGCCGUUCUACCCAGGUUUCCUGUUGAUUACGGCAGGGUUUGAGGUGCGGUCCCUGGUGUUUCAUCAUGACAAGUGGAGGUUUGCAGGAGAACUUCAUAACCAUCUGCAGAAAAGGUGAAGUCACAUCUUGAGACCAGCUCUAGAUAUGUUACCGAUGGGCUAAUGGUUUUGAUGUAAAAUAAGUAAAAACAUUAAAGGGCUAGAAGAAGCCAGAGGAAAAGUCAUUUAGAGGGUUGUAGUGUGAAAGUCUUUCUAACUGCAACACAAAAUCCUGAAGCUACAAAUUAAUAGAUUAUAUUAAUAGAUUAUAAAUUAACCUAAAUAAUGAUAUUGACAAAUACCUAAGAUAAGAAUUCUCCAUGGAAAUGCCCAUCAUGGAAAACAACAAGUGGGGGAAAUGUUGAAAUCCUGUCAGAGAGAAAGAGCUAAUUCAGGAUAUGGAUGGAAUUAACAAAACAUCAUCAAUAAGACUUUUUUUUUUUGAGUCAGAAUCUCACUCCAUCGCC